rnacentral:rRNA from 1 species
UACGAAGGGUGCAAGCGUUACUCGGAAUUACUGGGCGUAAAGCGUGCGUAGGUGGUUUGUUAAGUCUGUUGUGAAAGCCCCGGGCUCAACCUGGGAAUGGCAAUGGAUACUGGCAAGCUAGAGUGCGGUAGAGGGUAGUGGAAUUCCCGGUGUAGCGGUGAAAUGCGUAGAGAUCGGGAGGAACACCAGUGGCGAAGGCGGCUACUUGGACCAGCACUGACACUGAGGCACGAAAGCGUGGGGAGCAAACAGG